UACAGAGGUCCCAAGCGUUGUUCGGAUUCACUGGGCGUAAAGGGUGCGUAGGCGGUCGGGUAAGUCUGAUGUGAAAUCUUCAAGCUUAACUUGGAAACUGCAUCGGAUACUAUUCGGCUAGAGGAAUGGAGGGGAGACUGGAAUACUUGGUGUAGCAGUGAAAUGCGUAGAUAUCAAGUGGAACACCAGUGGCGAAGGCGGCUUCCUGGACCUGUUCUGACGCUGAGGAGCGAAAGCGUGGGGAGCGAUCCGG
rnacentral:rRNA from 1 species